AGAUGGCGACCGGCGCACGGGUGAGUAACACGUAUCCAACCUGCCGAUAACUCGGGGAUAGCCUUUCGAAAGAAAGAUUAAUACCCGAUGGUAUAAUCAGACCGCAUGGUCUUGUUAUUAAAGAAUUUCGGUUAUCGAUGGGGAUGCGUUCCAUUAGGCAGUUGGUGAAGUAACGGCUCACCAAACCUUCGAUGGAUAGGGGUUCUGAGAGGAAGGUCCCCCACAUUGGAACUGAGACACGGUCCAA
rnacentral:rRNA from 1 species